UACGGGGGGGGCAAGCGUUGUUCGGAAUUACUGGGCGUAAAGGGCGCGUAGGCGGCCUGCUAAGUCACACGUGAAAUCCCUCGGCUCAACCGGGGAACUGCGUGUGAUACUGGCGGGCUUGAAUUCGGGAGAGGGAUGUGGAAUUCCUGGUGUAGCGGUGAAAUGCGCAGAUAUCAGGAGGAACACCGGUGGCGAAGGCGGGUCUCUGGGCCGAUACUGACGCUGAGGUGCGAAAGCGUGGGGAGCAAACAGG
rnacentral:rRNA from 1 species